rnacentral:rRNA from 1 species
GAUGAACGCUGGCGGCGUGCCUAAUACAUGCAAGUCGAGCGAACGGACGAGGAGCUUUCUCCUUUGACGUUAUCGGCGGACGGGUGAGUAACACGUGGAUAACCUACCUAUAAGACUGGGAUAACUUCGGGAAACCGGAGCUAAUACCGGAUAAUAUAUUGAACCGCAUGGUUCAAUAGUGAAAUACGGUUUUGCUUUCACUUAUAGAUUGAUCCGCGCCGCAUUAGCUAGUUGGCAAGGUAACGGCUUACCAAGGCAACGAUGCGUAGCCGACCUGAGAGCGUGAUCGGACAGACGGGAACUGAGAAUCGGUCCAGACUCCUACGGGAGGAAGCAGUAGGGAAUCUUACGCGAUGGGGGAAAGCCUGACGGAGCAACGCCGCGUGAGUGAUGAAGGUCUUCGGAUCGUAAAACUAUGUUAUUAGGGAAGAACAAAUGUGUAAGUAACUAUGAACGUCUUGACGGUACCUAAUCAGAAAGCCACGGCUAACUACGUG